UACGUAGGCAGCGAGCGUUGUUCGGAGUUACUGGGCGUAAAGGGUGUGUAGGCGGUUGUUUAAGUUUGGUGUGAAAUCUCCCGGCUCAACUGGGAGGGUGCGCCGAAUACUGAAUGACUUGGAGUGCGGGAGAGGAGAGUGGAAUUCCUGGUGUAGCGGUGAAAUGCGUAGAUAUCGGGAGGAACACCAGUGGCGAAGGCGACUUCCUGGCCUGUUCUUGACGCUGAGGCGCGAAAGCUAGGGUAGCAAACGGG
rnacentral:rRNA from 1 species